CAAGAAGCCGAAAGGCAACUUCAAACCAUCGCGAACGUAUCCAAGUUGCUUCGGCGGCGCGGGACCCCUCGGGGGACCGCAGCCCACGCCCUCCGGGGCGAGGGGCGCCCGCCGGAGGUCACAAACUCUCAUGUAUUACAGUGGCGUCUCUGAGUUAAAAAAAAAAUAAGUCA
rnacentral:misc_RNA from 1 species